AAAUACCCAUUUUCAUUAACAAGUUGAGCAUGCGGGGGAGAGGGAAUAUGUCCCAAACUCAAUCUUGUCUACCAGCAUGCCCGCCUAUGAAAUCCAAAAUCACAAUAAGGUGACUCACUGCUUAGUAUUCUUAAAGGAAGAGCGAGAUCCCAGAGGUCCAGAGCUUAUCGUCUCUGCACAUGCUGAGGUCCUUUUGAGGAAAUGCCCUGAAAGCUCUCUAUACGCUUUCUUAUAGAGUGUAACUAGUAUUAAUUCGUGGGGAUGUUUUGUCCAAGAGAAGUAUCUAUUCAAGGAACUCUAUACUUCAGAGGCUGAAGCAGACUAAGCUUCCUUCAAAGCACUCUGCUGGACUGUGGAACGUAACAGCAGGACUUGUGACACAUAUGUAUUUUCAAUUCCAGUCUCAUAAUUGUAGGAAAGGACUUACUGCUAAAUCUUUGAAGCUAAAUCUGAAUCCAGCCCAUGUUUUUUCCAACUUCCAGUAAAAAAAAAGAUGCUACAAAGUGACAAGGAAACCGAGGCAAAAUACCCUUAGGCCAGCAAUCAUUUUCCAUUUCUUCAAUGAGCACACAAAUAAACCCCAAAGGAAAAAGAUACCUACCCUCUAAAAUUGACAACCUAUCUUUUAAUUAGUGGAGAGAGAAAAACUACCCUUGGAGCAGCAUCUCUCCUCUCUCAGAAGCAGCGGAUGAGCUGUGGCACCUCACGGCCUCUCCCUACCUGCAGCCACAUAUUUUGUCUCUCAGUUUUCCAUAGGAAUGGGGUCACUGUGUUACUUAACAGAUUCUGAUGUGUGGAUAGCAUAAUCUUGCAAAUUCUGCAUGUAUUCCAGGCAUGUUUUACUUUAUAGAUGCUGAUGGAGGCCAGAUGCUGGACUAUUUGUUGGAGGUGCUGUACAUCACAGAACAAGGAAAACGGUUGUUGACACAACUGAGUCCUCCCUGAAAACCUUCUUUUUCCAACUUUGAGUGCUGCAAGAGAAUACUUGCCACCUACGGGAUUUUCAGAUACUGGAAUUCCCAAACACAUAAGCACUGAAUACACUGAGAUAAAUCCCAAUGUGUGUAUACAGUGAGAUCGUAAAGUUGAUCCUUGCCACUUCCAGUAAUGCUGCCUGAUAUUGGGCUUACUGCUCAUGUACAGAUUAACUGUGUGGCAUAUGCUCAAGGGAUCCAACUAGCGCCAGACUCAUUUUACACGCACUGCAGCAUGCCGGGUCAUAUCUUUUUCAGUCAGAAAUGGGAAGUAGAAACAUGGGAGCCAUACAAAGAGCUUGCAAAUUAAGCAUCAGACAGUAUAUAACAGAUGGAGAUGGACAGAUGGGGAACUACAGUAUAGGUGGUUGUCCUUGCACACCAGCAGUUCUUGCUAAGUGGGCUCUUAGAGAAUGUUUGAGAGAUGGUGACAAUGACAUGAAGCCUUUUCCUAGUACAUCCCCUACUGGAGUGUAAUCCAGCAUGGAAAGUCAGAGCUCCAGUGGAGAAUACAGUCAUUCUGUGGACAAAGAAGACAGAGUAGCUAGAGGAGCCAAAAUAUGAAAGCCAAUCUUUACAAAGAAACGACUAAUCAUGACCAACUGGGAAGCAAGAACUAUGUACUUUGUGCAAAUUCAAAACAGAUAAAUACUUUAAAAAAGAAAACUGUGUAGUAGGUAGCUCUCCCUUAACUGACCAGUACUGAUUGCUGUGCACAAGAAGCAUGUAAUUAUCUGGAUUAACCCAUGAUACCUGUGAUUGGAAUGAAGGUAGCAAGUACAUUUCCUCUUGAUACAUCUGGCAGCUGAAAGCUAUCAGUUUUGAAACAUGCAAUUUUUUCCUGGUAAGAUACAGAGAAGAUUAUAAGAAAUGAGCUGAAGACAAUUUUUAUGUAUCUUAAACCACAAAGCAGUAGGAUUGUUGUUGUUGUUGUUUUGCUUUUUGCUUGAGUAGAAAUGCUGUCCUCAGCAGAGCAUUUUGACUUGGGCCAAUGAAGUAUUUAUUAAUCCUUUGUGUAAGAAGCAGGAAAAGGUGAGACAAACUGACCAACAAACCUGCUAAUCUGGAGCAGAACCCCAUAUAUAAUUAUAAUAGUUGUCUGCUGCUUGAGACAACAG
ensembl:lncRNA